GAAAGGGUCAUAUAGAACUGCUAAUUCAAAAACCUGAUACUAACCCAUCAGACCUUUC
rnacentral:tRNA from 1 species